rnacentral:rRNA from 1 species
GACGAAGGGGGCUAGCGUUGUUCGGAAUUACUGGGCGUAAAGCGUGCGUAGACGGUUAUUUAAGUCGGAUGUGAAAGCCCCGGGCUCAACCUGGGAAUUGCAUUCGAGACUGAAUAGCUAGGGUGCGGUAGAGGGAAGCGGAAUUUCCGGUGUAGCGGUGAAAUGCGUAGAUAUCGGAAGGAACAUCAGUGGCGAAAGCGGCUUCCUGGACCAGCACCGACGUCAGGCACGAAAGCGUGGGGAGCAAAC